GCGCGUAGGCGGUCUGUUAAGUGUGAAGUGAAAUCUCCAGGGCUCAACCCGGAAACUGCUUCGCAUACUGGCAGACUGGAGGGAUGCAGAGGUUUGUGGAAUUCCUGGUGUAGCGGUGAAAUGCAUAGAUAUCAGGAGGAACACCCAUGGCGAAGGCAGCAAACUGGGCAUCAUCUGACGCUGAGGCGCGAAAGCGUGGGUAGCAAACAGGAUUAGAUACCCUGGUAGUCCACGCCCUAAACUAUGGAUACUAGGCGUAAGAGGUAUCGACCCCUCUUGUGCCGCAGCUAACGCAUUAAGUAUCCCGCCUGGGGAGUACGGCCGCAAGGUUGAAACUCAAAUGAAUUGACGGGGACCCGCACAAGCGGUGGAGCAUGUGGAUUAAUUCGAUACUAACCGAAGAACCUUACCCAGACUUGACAUCGAUCGCAAGCCCUAGAAAUAGGGCCCUCUCCAAAAGAGACGUGAAGACACUUGUUGCAUGGCUGUCGUCAGCUCGUGCCGUGAGGUGUACGGUUAAGUCCGCCCACGAGCGCAACCCUCGUCCUGUGUU
rnacentral:rRNA from 1 species